rnacentral:lncRNA from 1 species
GUUUCAGUGGUUACCUGCUGAGGCGGCAUUGGGCAUGGAGCAUCCGAGGGUCCAAGCUUUCCCCUGAGAGGCCUCACACUUGAACUUAGAGGAAGAGUGAGUGGCCCUGGAGCUGGGCCUUCCAGUAGGAGCAGGGUUUCUGCAGGGAAGCAGAGAGAGGAGCCCGGGAGAAGGCACACGGGUUCUUCUCAGCCACCGUCAACAACCCCAGCUGCUACCAAGGUGCAAGAACACACAGGCUGCUGUGAAAGGACUGUAGGGGGCAAGGGCAGAGGAAGGGGCCAGCCAGGAGGCUUCCAAAAUAAUCCAGGCAGGAGAGGAUGGUGGCCUGGACAAGGGUGGCAGAUGAGGAAACUGCCGCUCAGAGACGGCAGCCGACCCAGCCAAGGCCGCACAGCCAGGAUUCAAAGCCAUACCGCUCAGCUCCUGCCUCCAGGCUCUGCCUUUGCAUGUGGCUUCUCCUGGCUCCUGGACCCUUCCCCGGCCCUCCCAGCUGGCUGUGCUGUGACAGUGGGCGGGGGAGUGCCAAGGCUCUGCCCUGCCCCCCGCCCUUGGCAUCUCCGGUCAAUAUGGCACUCACAGCUCCCUGGGCAUGGACCCCCUCCUGCCAUCCCCACUUAAAGUGAUACUUUAAUAAAUUAUGCUUUUAUGUUAUUA